AUUGACCACACUGCAGGGGAACACAGAUGGCGUGGGUCCCGCCGCCCAGAUUAGCUAGCCUGCCCCUGUGGCGAUCUGUGUGAGGCAGCUCAUGGGCGUUCAUUCAUUGUCAACACCAAGAGCACCACUGGAUGGCCUUUCCACAGGUAAGCAAGCAUGCAUGCAUAUCAGUACUAAGUCAGUGUUAUUGCUCGUACAACUCCAUCAAUUCUCCAGCUAGAGCGGCAUUAAGUGGGAGAGCAAGCAUUGCUCUUCAGCAGUGGUCUGGUUGCUUGAUUUUGAAUCGCUGCCAGACCUGCUCGCAGUGAGCGGGCAGCAUUGAUGAACCAGGGCACUCACACAGUUAACACCUCACUGGCGCCGACACACAUCAAUUAACAAUUGCGUAACAUGUCCAUCUUAGAAUCUAUCAUUAUCAAGUAGUGGUACAGUCAGUGAGGUUUGUGAUCUAGUAGUAGUGAGAUUUGUGAUCUAGUAGUAAAAUCUAUCAAGCAGUAGCACUACUGCCAGUGAGAUUUGUGAUGGUAAUUUAGCCAGGGUGGUUGGUUGGGAGCUUAGAAUCUGUCAGGCUUGCCAAAAGUGCUAAGCUGGCAAGGAAGACGCGUGUAGACUGAAGAUUUGUGCAAGGAAAAUGACCACCUUUACCUCUUCAUUAACGCUGCUGGAUGCUUCCUAAACUUGGAGACUGCGCUUUACAUGAUUUGUUUAUUUAAUCGAGGGAAGGGGAGACUGUGCUUUACAUUGACAUUUGUGUCUUGUUCGAUCCAGCCUUGCACUAUUUAGAUUUAGAUUACUGGGCACCUACCCUGUUUGUGUCCGGAUUCCCACCAGGUGUAGGGUCCACGCUGCUGGGGAAUCUACUGCUGCUGCUAAUUAAGCUUGAGCUACCGCCAUGCAUGCACUGAAAGUUUAAUGGUAGGAGACAUCUCCUUUCACCCUAUUAGAUUUAUUUUUUUGAAAAGUUCACCCUAUUAGAUAUAGAUAGAUAACUUGUGUCUGUGACCUAAGGCAUGGGGUUCCUGCUAAUUAAUCAAUUAAGCUUGAGCCUUGAGCUACUGCCAUGCUCUGAAAGUCUAAUGAAGGGUAGGAGACAUCUCCAUUCACCCUACAGUUAACUUGUGCCUAUGACCAAGGGCAUGGGGUUCCUGUUGACAGGGCCAUUGGUUCCCUUUGGUUGCUUGGCUGGGCAGGAUAACAUAAUGGCAUGGAGGACUUGCUGCCACAAGCAGCCAAGGUUGUCAAUGGCCCCCUGCACUGCCCUGCCAUUUUUCUAUGCACCAUGAGUUUCAUGCAGGGCCGGCCCUGGCAUGUUAGGGGCCCCUGUGCGAACUCCGUAUGAUGGGCCCGUGGACUAUAAUAGACAAAAAAAAAUCCACGCCUAUGUCUACCGUGAAAAUUCAUUAUAAAAGCAAGUGUAAAUUUCAUUAGCAAAUAUGGUCUUAAUAUAUCAUGGAUGUAUCACAUUCUUAAUUAAAUCUUAACUCUAAACUAAAUAUAUAUGACAUUCUUAAUUCUUGAUCCAAUUUGGCAGAAGUUAUGCUCAGGCUCUAGCGGUCCAACCACAACCAUGCAUCAGAGAAUUCGAUAAGCACCAGACACAUUUUGGUAGCAAUCUAUAGUUGUAACAAAAUUAAACAUCUCAUCUGCUGACACGAAUAUCUAUUUGCAAAGUCAUUUUCGAGCAAUGCUACCAUCAGCAGAAUCUAUCUAACAGAAAUUUCAUGUACAAAAAUAGAGGAAUCAAGUAGGUCAAACAUCAUAUAUCAGAAAUAAAUUGACAAGGCCAAAGAGUUGAGAUCUAGAAAUUACAUGACUGGGGAAUGGCUUGGGUUGUCUAUGAAUCUGGGGCACACACUGCUGGCUGCUGCUCUUGCGUUCCUGCCAGAGUGGUGUGUCGUCGGCUCGCCUCCGCUAACCUGGGGCGUAUUUAUAGGAAGCGAGAAGCCGAAGAAAUCCUAGGGCCCUUGGAAAAUUUAUUAAUUAGCUUGGGGAAUUGGGGUCUUGGGCUCAUAGGAACUUGGGGCAAUCAAUUGUUGAAGACUGAAGACUGAAGAAACGAUGGCGGUUGGGAGACGAACAAGCCGGCGACGUUUUCUGGGAGAGAACGAGCGAAAACGGAUCUUGGGAUUGCGUUCGUGUGUGACUUUGCUUCCUCUCUCUUUAGGGGCUGGGCCUGCUUCCUUUGCGUAUUAGAUUUUUUAGUAAUAUAUAUAAACUGCUAUGCACAGGUAUGGGCCCCUGUUUAGGCUGGGCCCUAGGCCGUCGCACUCUUCGCCAUGGCCCAGGGCCGGCCCUGGUUUCAUGUAGUACAUAUCUUUUCUUUCUAGACUAGAUAUGUAGUUUAUGUAGCCUAAAGUGCACUGCUUUUCCUCGCGGAAACCUUGCUAGCACCUGCUCCCCUUUCUAGAUCGCCAAGUCCAUGGAUGGGACACUUGAAGAUACCAAAGAGAGAUAUCCCAUAUCUGGUCAGUAGGAUUAGCCAUGCCCAUGCAUGCUUUUCUCCUAACCAUGGCAGGUCCCAUGCCCAGCUCUGGUCUCCAUAUCCAAGAAAUUCAGGAAACAAGGAUUUUUUCUUUGCUGUGGGGCCCACAUGCCAAGAUUUUAGUGAGCCAAACACAUUGCCAUACACCAUGUAGUCAGAGUCAGUGGAGUACCACUAUAGGCCAUACUAUAUAGGAUGGAGGAUCACUCGGUGUCUAUUUCUUGUUACCUGUGUCUCCUCUUAUUAGUGGCCUCUCUCUCCCAGCUGCUAAAUCCAUAUUAAUACCCUCCUCCUCCCCUGCUCCUCUCUCUGUCUCUGUGUCUCAUGCCAUGGGGAGGCCCUCCCAGCAGCACUCCUUGCUCCCCUGCAUCCUCCUCCUCCUCCUGCUCCUUGUUUCCAUGUCACACCUGCCGAGCUCGAGCCAUGGCUUGAGAACGCUGAGGGAGGAAGAAGAAGCGGUCGGUGAGCUCAUCACAGGCCAGCAUGAGCUUCCCCCAACCAUCUCCCCUACUCAAGAAGCAGGCGGCGACGACGUUGCCGCUGCCGACGACAUCGGCGCCGGGAAGUUCACCGUGUCGAGGAGAGCGGUUCCUCAGGGGCCCAACCCUCUGCACAACUGACGAGGAGGAUCGACGCCAUCGGCUCCGGCGGAUCUCUGCAGCAGGUUCAUGGCCCUCACCAUGGCCACCAGAUACAUAUACUAUACCCUUUUUUUUUGGUCCCCCAUUAUUAUUUUUAGCUGGCUAGGCUAGAAAGAUGAUAAUACGGUACAGACAGGCCGUAGUACCACCAUUGAUGUGUGUGUGUUCAUCAAUACCCGUGGCUCCCUCCCUCCCUCCAUGAUUAGCUGUAUCUCUUGUGUAUAUAUGCAGUGAUUGAUGUUACAAGGCCGUGAAAGUUGUUGAUCAAGCAUUUACGUACUACCACUCACUACUCCCUCUGCACAUGUACAGUAAUGUAAGGUGUUUUCGCAGCUCAAAUUGAACCGCAAAAAACACCUUAUAUUAGUGUGCGUACAGAGGUAGUGCUCCCUCCGUUCCUAAAUAUAAGUCUUUUUUAGAGAGACUUCAAUAUGAACUACAUACGGAUGUACAUAUAUGUAGCAGUUUAGGGUGUAGAUUCACUCAUUUUGCUCCGUAUGCAUGUAGUCCAUCCUGAAAUCUCUUAAAAGACUUAUAUUUAGGAACGGAGGGAGUAGAUAGUAGUGGCGUCUUUGUAAUCAUAAUUGAAUAGGAUCUGAAAUUCUGAAAUGGUACUAUUGUUGUUGCUUUUU